rnacentral:rRNA from 1 species
UAGGGAAUCUUCGGCAAUGGACGAAAGUCUGACCGAGCAACGCCGCGUGAGUGAAGAAGGUUUUCGGAUCGUAAAACUCUGUUGUUAGAGAAGAACAAGGACGUUAGUAACUGAACGUCCCCUGACGGUAUCUAACCAGAAAGCCACGGCUAACUACGUGCCAGCAGCCGCGGUAAUACGUAGGUGGCAAGCGUUGUCCGGAUUUAUUGGGCGUAAAGCGAGCGCAGGCGGUUUCUUAAGUCUGAUGUGAAAGCCCCCGGCUCAACCGGGGAGGGUCAUUGGAAACUGGGAGACUUGAGUGCAGAAGAGGAGAGUGGAAUUCCAGGUGUAGCGGUGAAAUGCGUAGAUAUAUAGAGGAACACCAGUGGCGAAGGCGGCUCUCUGGUCUGUAACUGACGCUGAGGCUCGAAAGCGUGGGGAGCAAACAGG